rnacentral:rRNA from 1 species
GAUGAACGCUGGCGGCGUGCCUAAUACAUGCAAGUCGAGCGGAGCGGGCGGGGGUGAGUAACACGUGGGACACCUCCUAUAAGACUGGGAUAAAUUCGGGAAACCGGAGCUAACCGGGAGACUCCUAGCUUGAUCCGCGGUGCAUUAGCUAGUUGGUAAGGUAACGGCUUACAAAGGCAACGAUGAGUAGCCGACCUGAGAGGUUGAUCGGCCACACUGGAACGGAGACACGGUCAAGACUCCUACGGGAGGCAGCAGUAGGGAAUCUGCCGCAAUGGGCGAAAGCCUGACGGAGCAACGCCGCGUGAGUGAUGAAGGUCUUCGGAUCGUAAAACUCUGUUAUUAGGGAAGCGGUACCUAAUCAGAAAGCCACGGCUAACUACGUGCCAGCAGCCGCGGUAAUAC